rnacentral:lncRNA from 1 species
GAAAGAGGCAAGCCCAUGAAGUCCUAGCAACAAGGCAAAGGCUGAAUUUGCUCCAGACACCUAUGGAUUUGCCGUCGGUAAAUCAGGGUAACUCUGAUCUCUUCCACUGCUAACACAGACAGUUGUGAAUCUCCUGCCUCUAAAAUUACGCUCCACAAGACAAACUCAUCCACUCCUCCGUCUUCUCAUCCCCAAGGCCUAAGACAUCUCUGACCUUAUCUCCAAAUACAGUCACCUUCCAAGAUACUGAGGAUUAAGACAUCAACAUAUGGAUUUAAGGGGACACAAUUCAACCCCUUGCAAAGAGCUACAGAUAUCUUUAUUCUACUACUCAUAAAAUGUCUUAGGAAUACAAUAGCCAUUAGAACAUUAACUGGUUGCAAAAGGUUGAAUUGCUGAAGAAACCAGCUGUUUUUCAGAAAGAGAAAAAGCUUUCAUGCAGCAUUCUUCAUUUAGAAUACAUUGUUAUGCAGGUAUAUACAGCAAGUUAGUGUGUACAUUGAGAAAGACCCAGCAUAAAGUCACAGAGGACUCUGGUGCCAAAUCAUCUGAGUAUUUAUUUGAAUACUGGCUCUGUUUCUGACCAGCUGUGUGACUUUCCCAGCUUGCCUCCAACAACCUCUCCAUUCAAUUUUCCACAUACUGAGAGAGAUUUAUUGAUUACUCUGGCAAGAUACUGGGAUAGGCACAGAAGACCCAGCAGUGCCCAAAAAAACAACCUCUGUCCCACUCUGCCAUAAAGGACUCUACAGUCGAAGUGUUUGAGAAGAUCCUGGAAUAGUUUAAACAGUAUUGGCAUUAUUGGGUCACUUAACGGGUGAGAGGACUCAUUCAUAAAGCCAUCUGGUCCCAGCAUCUGUUUUA